AGCACCGGCUAACUCCGUGCCAGCAGCCGCGGUAAUACGGAGGGUGCGAGCGUUAAUCGGAAUUACUGGGCGUAAAGCGCAUGCAGGUGGUUUGUUAAGUCAGAUGUGAAAGCCCGGGGCUCAACCUCGGAAUUGCAUUUGAAACUGGCAGACUAGAGUACUGUAGAGGGGGGUAGAAUUUCAGGUGUAGCGGUGAAAUGCGUAGAGAUCUGAAGGAAUACCGGUGGCGAAGGCGGCCCCCUGGACAGAUACUGACACUCAGAUGCGAAAGCGUGGGGAGCAAACAGGAUUAGAUACCCUGGUAGUCCACGCCGUAAACGAUGUCUACUUGGAGGUUGUGGCCUUGAGCCGUGGCUUUCGGAGCUAACGCGUUAAGUAGACCGCCUGGGGAGUACGGUCGCAAGAUUAAAACUCAAAUGAAUUGACGGGGGCCCGCACAAGCGGUGGAGCAUGUGGUUUAAUUCGAUGCAACGCGAAGAACCUUACCUACUCUUGACAUCCAGAGAACUUUCCAGAGAUGGAUUGGUGCCUUCGGGAACUCUGAGACAGGUGCUGCAUGGCUGUCGUCAGCUCGUGUUGUGAAAUGUUGGGUUAAGUCCCGCAACGAGCGCAACCCUUAUCCUUGUUUGCCAGCGAGUAAUGUCGGGAACUCCAGGGAGACUGCCGGUGAUAAACCGGAGGAAGGUGGGGACGACGUCAA
rnacentral:rRNA from 1 species